rnacentral:rRNA from 1 species
GGUCCUGUAACCCUACUGGAUGGCAGCAGUCAGGGAUCAUCCUCAUCGGUGGAACCUUAUGGUGCGACGCCGCGUGGGGGAAGAAGGUCUUCGGGUUGUAUACCCGUAUCAUGGGGAGCAAAUUAUAAGAUAGUACCACAGAUGAAGAGACGGCUACUCUGUGCUGCAGCCGCGGUAAUACAGAGUCUCAAGCGUGAUCGGAUCACUGGGCGUAAAGCGUGCGUAGGGUGUUUAGUAAGUCGUGUGUGAAAGGCGCGGGCUCAACCCGCGGACGGCACAUGAUACUGCGAGACUAGAGUAAUGGAGGGGGAACCGGAAUUCUCGGUGUAGCAGUGAAAUGCGUAGAUAUCGAGAGGAACACUCGUGGCGAAGGCGGGUUCCUGGACAUUAACUGACGCUGAGGCACGAAGGCCAGGGGGGCGAAAGGGAUUAGAUACCCCUGUAGUCCUGGCAGUAAACGGUGCACGCUUGGUGUGCGGGGAAUCGACCCCCUGCGUGCCGGAGCUAACGCGUUAAGCGUGCCGCCUGGGGAGUACGGUCGCAAGAUUAAAACUCAAAGAAAUUGACGGGGACCCGCACAAGCGGUGGAGUAUGUGGCUUAAUUCGAUGCAACGCGAAGAACCUUACCUGGGCUUGACAUGUAAUGAACAACAUGUGAAAGCAUGCGACUCUUCGGAGGCGUUACACAGGUGAUGCAUGGCCGUCGUCAGCUCGUGUCGUGAGAUGUUUGGUUAAGUCCAGCAACGAGCGCAACCCCUGUUGCCAGUUACCAGCACGUGAAGGUGGGGACUCUGGCGAGACUGCCCAGAUCAACUGGGAGGAAGGUGGGGACGACGUCAGGUCAGUAUGGCCCUUAUGCCCAGGGCUGCGCACGUCCUACAAUGCCCAGUACAGAGGGGGCUGAAGCCGCGAGGCGGAGGAAAUCCUAAAAACUGGGCCCAGUUCGGACUGUAGGCUGCAACCCGCCUACACGAAGCCGGAAUCGCUAGAAUGGCGCAUCAGCUACGGCGCCGUGAAUACGUUCCCGAUCUUGUACACACCGCCCGUCCAG